rnacentral:rRNA from 1 species
CCUACGGGAGGCUGCAGUGAGGAAUAUUGGUCAAUGGGCGAGAGCCUGAACCAGCCAAGUCGCGUGAAGGAUGAAGGAUCUAUGGUUUGUAAACUUCUUUUAUAUGGGAAUAAAGUGAGGAACGUGUUCCUUUUUGUAUGUACCAUAUGAAUAAGCAUCGGCUAACUCCGUGCCAGCAGCCGCGGUAAUACGGAGGAUGCGAGCGUUAUCCGGAUUUAUUGGGUUUAAAGGGUGCGUAGGUGGUUAAUUAAGUCAGCGGUGAAAGGUUGUGGCUCAACCAUAAAAUUGCCGUUGAAACUGGUUGACUUGAGUAUAUUUGAGGUAGGCGGAAUGCGUGGUGUAGCGGUGAAAUGCAUAGAUAUCACGCAGAACUCCGAUUGCGAAGGCAGCUUACUAAACUAUAACUGACGCUGAAGCACGAAGGCGUGGGGAUCAAACAGGAUUAGAUACCCCAGUAGUC